UUAGGCGCUACUUAGCUUAAUAGGGAAACGUGUGAAGCACUGCAGCCCCCGCUACUGUAGGCGAGUACUAAUUGUUCGUAAGCUCAGCUUAACCACUGUACAACUUGUAUGGGAAGGUGAACAAUUGGGAUGAUCCGUCAGCCAGGAGACCUACCUAAAAUA
rnacentral:ncRNA from 1 species